ensembl:misc_RNA Metazoa_SRP Metazoan signal recognition particle RNA
GUCAGGUGUGGUGGCGUGCACCUGUAGUCCUAGCUACUUGGGAGGCUGAGGUGGGAGAAUCGCUUGAGCCCAGGUGUUCAAGACUGCAGUGAGCUAUGAUGGCACCACUGCACUUCAGCCUGGGAGACAGAGCAAGACCCUGUCUCUA